rnacentral:tRNA from 1 species
AGACGAUUAGUCCAAAGAAAGACAGCUGAUUUCGGCUCAACAGAACGUGGUUCAACUCCACGAUCGUCUU